rnacentral:rRNA from 1 species
UUGGGUCUGGUCACUAUUAGUACGUUGAGGGGUUGCUCUUAGUUAAGAGGUGGUGGUCUUGUUUUGGAGGGUGUGUUUUUCUCCAAGGUCGCCCCAACCGAAAAAUGCGAGCCAGAGUUUUGUUGAAGGUGGGCCUGGUAGG